UACGGAAGGGGCAAGCGUUGUUCGGAAUCAUUGGGCGUAAAGGGCGCGUAGGUGGUUCUGUAUGUCUACCGUGAAAGCAUACAGCUCAACUGUAUUUUGUCGGUAGAAACUGCAGGACUUGAGGCUGGGAAGGGCUGGUGGAAUUCCCUGUGUAGCGGUGAAAUGCGCAGAUAUCAGGAGGAACACCGAUGGCGAAGGCAGGUCUCUGGGCCACUACUGACGCUGAGAAGCGAAAGCAUGGGGAGCGAACAGG
rnacentral:rRNA from 1 species